CUAAGAAUAUUCCGCAAUGGACGAAAGUCUGACGGAGCGACGCCGCGUGAACGAAGAAGGCCGGAAGGUUGUAAAGUUCUUUUGAAACUGGAGAAUAAGUAUUGCAGGGAAUGGCGAUAUGGUGACGGUAGGUUUUGAAUAAGCAACGGCUAAUUACGUGCCAGCAGCCGCGGUAACACGUAAGUUGCGAGCGUUGUUCGGAAUUAUUGGGCGUAAAGGGCAUGUAGGCGGUUUUGCAAGCUUGAUGUGAAAUGCAUAGGCUCAACCUAUGAACUGCAUUGAGAACUACAAGACUUGAGUUACUGAGGUGGAACUGGAAUUCCUAGUGUAGCGGUGAAAUGCGUAGAUAUUAGGAGGAACACCAGUGGCGAAGGCGGCUUACUGGACGAUAACUGACGUUGAGGCUCGAAAGCGUGGGGAGCAAACAGGAUUAGAUACCCUGGUAGU
rnacentral:rRNA from 1 species